rnacentral:rRNA from 1 species
UCAAGUGUGAGGUAAGGGCAUUUGGUGGAUGCCUUGGCGCAUACAGGCGAUGAAGGACGUGGCACGCUGCGAUAAGCUGCGGUGAGGUGUGAGCAACCUUUGACCCGCAGAUUUCCGAAUGGGGAAACCCACUCAUCCCGAUUAUCUAGCUUUCGGGCUAGGUAAUUGGGGUCCGAGUAUCACUUAGCUGAAUAAAAUAGGCUUCGUGAAGCGAACCCGGCGAACUGAAACAUCUCAGUACCCGGAGGAAAAGACAUCAACCGAGAUUCCGUUAGUAGUGGCGAGCGAACGCGGACCAGGCC